rnacentral:pre_miRNA from 1 species
CUCAUACUCUCUCCGUCCGGAAAUACUUGUCAUCAAAAUGGAUAAAAGAGGAUGUAUGUAGACGUAUUUUAGUUCUAGAUACAUCUCUUUUUAUCCAUUUUGAUGACAAGUAUUUUCGGACGGAGGGAGUAUGUC